UACAGAGGUCUCAAGCGUUGUUCGGAUUCAUUGGGCGUAAAGGGUGCGUAGGUGGCGCCGUAAGUCGGGUGUGAAAUUUCGGAGCUUAACUCCGAAACUGCAUUCGAUACUGCGGUGCUUGAGGACUGGAGAGGAGACUGGAAUUCAUGGUGUAGCAGUGAAAUGCGUAGAGAUCAAUGAGGAAGACCAGUGGCGAAGGCGGGUCUCUGGACAGUUCCUGACACUGAGGCGCGGAAAGCCAGGGGAGCAAACGGG
rnacentral:rRNA from 1 species